CGUUACUCCAGGUGUUAAGUAUAGCGAAUUCAUAAGUCGAAUGUCUAAUUGCUUGCCGGGCAACUACGUCUCAAGAGGUAAAAGUCGAAGUACUUGGCGGUCUAGUGAUGAACCAGCCCGUGAGACUUGACGGUUAAUCCGAUAAUCCGCGUAAAUUCUACUCUUUCUUGAAUUCCCAGUUGGUGUAUGGCCGUCGAGUGCUUCUUUGAGGGAGUGGCAAGAUCCAUAUUAGUUUUUUUUCUGCAGACAUGUGGGAAUUGUUAAAUCUACAGGCUUGUAGUAGACGAGUGGAGUAAGUCAGGUCGUCAUGCCGCCCAUGAAGGAGGCUUAGUUGAGUCACAUUGAAUUAAAUCAAGCGGAACCGAGGAAGGAAGUAGCCGGGGGAAGAAGUAAUGGGUAGUAAUAAGAGAAUAAUUCGCUCUUAUGAAUUGAAUGAACUCCUAGGUGUACAAAUCGCCC
rnacentral:rRNA from 1 species